rnacentral:rRNA from 1 species
GGCAUGCCUAAUACAUGCAAGUCGAACGAGAAAGCACUUCGGUGUGAGUACAGUGGCGCACGGGUGAGUAACGCGUAGAUGACGUGCCAUAUAGUGGGGGACAACAUCGUGAAAACGGUGCUAAUACCGCAUAUGAUAGACGACAUUGAAAAAGUCUAAGAAAGGGGCUUCGGUCUCGCUAUAUGAUCGGUCUGCGUGACAUUAGCUUGAUGGUGGGGUAAUGGCCUACCAUGGCGACGAUGUCUAGCUGGUCUGAGAGGAUGAUCAGUCACACUGGAACUGAGACACGGUCCAGACUCCUACGGGAGGCAGCAGUAGGGAAUAUUGCACAAUGGGGGAAACCCUGAUGCAGCAAUGCCACGUGAGUGAGGAAGGUUUUCGGAUUGUAAAGCUCUGUCCUAUAGGAAGAACUGCUUUGGGUAACGCCAAAGUUUGACGGU